AGUGAACGCUGGCGGUAGGCCUAACACAUGCAAGUCGAACGGCAGCACAGUAAGAGCUUGCUCUUACGGGUGGCGAGUGGCGGACGGGUGAGGAAUACAUCGGAAUCUACUUUUUCGUGGGGGAUAACGUAGGGAAACUUACGCUAAUACCGCAUACGACCUACGGGUGAAAGCAGGGGAUCUUCGGACCUUGCGCGAUUGAAUGAGCCGAUGUCGGAUUAGCUAGUUGGCGGGGUAAAGGCCCACCAGGGCGACGAUCCGUAGCUGGUCUGAGAGGAUGAUCAGCCACACUGGAACUGAGACACGGUCCAGACUCCUACGGGAGGCAGCAGUGGGGAAUAUUGGACAAUGGGCGCAAGCCUGAUCCAGCCAUACCGCGUGGGUGAAGAAGGCCUUCGGGUUGUAAAGCCCUUUUGUUGGGAAAGAAAAGCAGCAGGUUAAUACCCCGCUGUUCUGACGGUACCCAAAGAAUAAGCACCGGCUAACUUCGU
rnacentral:rRNA from 1 species